AUAUUUGCAUUAUUCUUCAGUCUGAUAAAUUUUCAAACAAUUUUUCACUAGUUAAUACUUAAAUUCCGUUGAUUAUUGUCAAUUUGACUGCACAAAUACUAUUUAAACUGAACUGAGCUGGACAAUGAUGUCUCUGAAUUCAAUAAUAAAAAGCCUUUAAAUGAAAACUGAGUGUUUAGUCUUGUCAUUAUACACUACUGUCACAUAUUCUCCUAUUCAAUAUGUUAAGUGCUUUGACACAAUCUGUAUUGUUAAAAGCGCUAUAUAAAUAAAGGAAGACUAAUUUUUGCAGUUUUCCAUUACUGGUUAUUUUUAUAAAUACCAGUCUUACCUGAUUAUGAUAAUUCAUGUUGCAGCUUUUUGUAUUUUUAUUUCCCAGCCAUACUCUCCGCAUUCGGCAUCAUUCUAUCAUAGAAAAGGUUGCACAUUCUCCUUAACGCACAGGUGAAUUGGGUGCACCGCUUCAAUCAAGGCUUUACUAUUGGGUUUGAGAGUCAUCUGAGCCCAGACAACAAAAGCAAACGCUACAGUGAGUGUCUCUACUGUAAGUGGCUUUUGAAGAAUUGGCACAGUCAUCUGGCGAACACCUCACAUCUCUCACAAACAAAUGAAGGCCUGGCGCUUCAAAGUGAGAUUGAUAUCUCUCUCUGAACUUCAACCAGAAUAUUCUGAAUAUUGAGAGAGGUGCACUCCUCCCACGGGACCGCCGAGGCGCCUCUCUCCUCCCUCGUUCCGCCAAAGAGGGGGAAAAAGAUUGCCCCUGAUCUUCCAUGUUCAUCAAUAUUCACUCAUUCAUCGUGAGCCAUGGCAGCUGAAAUUUGGCCUAGUAUUGCUGAAUGGAUGACCCAGGGAUCCACUUUGUUGCCAUGAGGUUGUCUGCGAUUGAGAUUUAGGGUUAGAACAGAACAAUACACAAUUUUUAUGAACUUCAGACUCAUCUAUAUAUUUUACCUUGUGACAGAAAACUUUUCAAUUUGCUCUGCAAGUUCUUAAGAUUACCCAUGCAUUUAAUAAGCCUAGAAUAGAUGUAUCUACCUUGUUCUGCUUUCUGACUGUAUGCCAAAUAUUAAAUUGCGUUUUCCCUUUCUGUUUUUACUUGGAAAUAUUUUUCAAAUAAAAUAAAGGAAGCUGAUAAAGACGGUUGCCAUAAAUCAACGCGUAUUGCUGAAUUCUCACAGAGUAUUUAAGCUACUAUACUGAAGUAUUGAUAUUAAACUGAAUUUGCAAAAUAUAUAUAAAAUGUCUUUGCAGUUGCAAUGUGCACACAUAGAAUGUAAUAUGCAUUGUGCACCAUGAAAACACAAAUGAUCUUGAACAAAUUCUGUCUUUUUUAUGCAAAUUCUUAAAAAAAAACAUAUUUUUUUUACAUUUACUGUAAAACAUCCACCAGGAAAAUACGUUUUGAUGCGAACAAAUGCAUUGCCAAUCAGGUUUGCUUCUCUGUUAGUAUCUCCACAGCUGUAUGUCUCUAUUAGAGCAUCUUUCCGAGAACUCCUUAGCCAAAUGAAGAGGCAAACAUAGAUGGUGAUGAUGAUGAUGAUGAUGAUGAUGAUGAUGGUGGUCAUAAUAUAGAUCACUGAACCAAGCUCAACCAGCUUAAGACCGAACCACAAAAUUCACAAUCAUACGAAUCCCACCUCCAGGUAAACCACCGAAUUUUAAAUUCCAGGUAAUGUGAAAAUGACUACGCUGUCACUGUGCAGUGCACUAAUAAAUCACCACAGUUGCAUACA